rnacentral:rRNA from 1 species
UUGAAGAGUUUGAUCAUGGCUCAGAUUGAACGCUGGCGGCAGGCCUAACACAUGCAAGUCGAGCGGAAACGAGUUAUCUGAACCUUCGGGGAACGAUAACGGCGUCGAGCGGCGGACGGGUGAGUAAUGCCUAGGAAAUUGCCCUGAUGUGGGGGAUAACCAUUGGAAACGAUGGCUAAUACCGCAUGAUGCCUACGGGCCAAAGAGGGGGACCUUCGGGCCUCUCGCGUCAGGAUAUGCCUAGGUGGGAUUAGCUAGUUGGUGAGGUAAGGGCUCACCAAGGCGACGAUCCCUAGCUGGUCUGAGAGGAUGAUCAGCCACACUGGAACUGAGACACGGUCCAGACUCCUACGGGAGGCAGCAGUGGGGAAUAUUGCACAAUGGGCGCAAGCCUGAUGCAGCCAUGCCGCGUGUGUGAAGAAGGCCUUCGGGUUGUAAAGCACUUUCAGUCGUGAGGAAGGUAGUGUAGUUAAUAGCUGCAUUAUUUGACGUUAGCGACAGAAGAAGCACCGGCUAACUCCGUGCCAGCAGCCGCGGUAAUACGGAGGGUGCGAGCGUUAAUCGGAAUUACUGGGCGUAAAGCGCAUGCAGGUGGUUUGUUAAGUCAGAUGUGAAAGCCCGGGGCUCAACCUCGGAAUAGCAUUUGAAACUGGCAGACUAGAGUACUGUAGAGGGGGGUAGAAUUUCAGGUGUAGCGGUGAAAUGCGUAGAGAUCUGAAGGAAUACCGGUGGCGAAGGCGGCCCCCUGGACAGAUACUGACACUCAGAUGCGAAAGCGUGGGGAGCAAACAGGAUUAGAUACCCUGGUAGUCCACGCCGUAAACGAUGUCUACUUGGAGGUUGUGGCCUUGAGCCGUGGCUUUCGGAGCUAACGCGUUAAGUAGACCGCCUGGGGAGUACGGUCGCAAGAUUAAAACUCAAAUGAAUUGACGGGGGCCCGCACAAGCGGUGGAGCAUGUGGUUUAAUUCGAUGCAACGCGAAGAACCUUACCUACUCUUGACAUCCAGAGAACUUUCCAGAGAUGGAUUGGUGCCUUCGGGAACUCUGAGACAGGUGCUGCAUGGCUGUCGUCAGCUCGUGUUGUGAAAUGUUGGGUUAAGUCCCGCAACGAGCGCAACCCUUAUCCUUGUUUGCCAGCGAGUAAUGUCGGGAACUCCAGGGAGACUGCCGGUGAUAAACCGGAGGAAGGUGGGGACGACGUCAAGUCAUCAUGGCCCUUACGAGUAGGGCUACACACGUGCUACAAUGGCGCAUACAGAGGGCAGCCAACUUGCGAAAGUGAGCGAAUCCCAAAAAGUGCGUCGUAGUCCGGAUUGGAGUCUGCAACUCGACUCCAUGAAGUCGGAAUCGCUAGUAAUCGUGGAUCAGAAUGCCACGGUGAAUACGUUCCCGGGCCUUGUACACACCGCCCGUCACACCAUGGGAGUGGGCUGCAAAA